rnacentral:rRNA from 1 species
GAUGAACGCUGGCGGCGUGCUUAACACAUGCAAGUCGAACGAUGAAGCCCAGCUUGCUGGGUGGUUUAGUGGCGAACGGGUGAGUAACACGUGAGUAACCUGCCCUUGACUCUGGGAUAAGCCUGGGAAACUGGGUCUAAUACUGGAUAUGACUUCUCAUCGCAUGGUGGGGGGUGGAAAGAUUUAUUGGUCUUGGAUGGACUCGCGGCCUAUCAGCUUGUUGGUGAGGUAAUGGCUCACCAAGGCGACGACGGGUAGCCGGCCUGUGAGGGUGACCGGCGACAAUGGGACUGAGACACGGCCCAGACUCCUACGGGAGGCAGCAGUGGGGAAUAUUGCACAAUGGGCGCAAGCCUGAUGCAGCGGCGCCGCGUGAGGGAUGACGGCCUUCGGGUUGUAAACCUCUGUCAGUAGGGAAGAAGCGAGAGUGACGGUACCUGCAGAAGAAGCGCCGGCUAACUACGUG